rnacentral:rRNA from 1 species
GACGAACGCUGGCGGCGUGCUUAACACAUGCAAGUCGAACGGUGAAGCGCUUGCCUUUUUGGUGGGUGUGGAUGAGUGGCGAACGGGUGAGUAACACGUGAGUAACCUGCCCUCUUCUUCUGGAUAACCUCAUGAAAGUGGGGCUAAUACGGGGUAUUCCGGGUCUGUCGCAUGGCGGGUUUGGGAAAGAUUGCGCCUUUGGGUGUUUUCGGUGGGGGAUGGGCUCGCGGCCUAUCAGCUUGUUGGUGGGGUGAUGGCCUACCAAGGCGGUGACGGGUAGCCGGCCUGAGAGGGUGGACGGCCACACUGGGACUGAGACACGGCCCAGACGCCUGCGGGAGGCAGCAGUGGGGAAUAUUGCACAAUGGGCGCAAGCCUGAUGCAGCGACGCCGCGUGAGGGACGGAGGCCUUCGGGUUGUGAACCUCUUUCGCCAGUGAAGCAGGCCUGCUCCUGUGUGGGUGGGUUGACGGUAGCUGGAUAAGAAGCGCCGGCUAACUACGUG